rnacentral:rRNA from 1 species
GAUCAUGCUCAGGAUGAACGCUAGCUACAGGCUUAACACAUGCAAGUCGAGGGGCAGCAUGGACCCAGCUUUGCUGGGUUUGAUGGCGACCGGCGCACGGGUGAGUAACGCGUAUCCAACCUGCCCUUUACUCCGGGAUAGUCUCCUGAAAGGGAGUUUAAUACCGGAUGUGUUUGUCUUUCCGCAUGGGAGCGACAAAUAAAGGUUGAUUGGUAAAGGAUGGGGAUGCGUCCCAUUAGCUUGUUGGG